rnacentral:tRNA from 1 species
AAAGAAAUAUAAGUAGGAAGGAACAACAGUGAGGCCACAGUAAACCCACGCCACACGAACAGGAAUUAUUUCAA